UGUGUCCUUCCUGUAGCUGGAUCAGCGGUGUCUCUCAGAGGACCUCUGUCAUCACUGUUUCUGUGUUGGGUGGAGUGGGUCACCCAGGCUCUCAUUUUGGUCCGCGUGACAGCGCUUCCCCUACCUGAGGUGGCUGCAUGCCGCCGAGGCUGUGGUCUGGAGGAAGGGGUGAGUCCGGCCUGCCCGUGUCUGGCUGUCCGUCCAGGAUCGCUGCUGUUGCUGCAGUCUGCCACGCGUGCGGCCAUGUGCCCCGUUCUCCCAGAUGCGCAGCCCAUCCCCAGGGCUGGCCACUGGCGGGCGUGGACGCAUGUCCCUCCAGCUUGAAGUCAAGCUAGUUCUCUUGGCUGUGGCUCCCACUAUGCUGUUCCGCCUCAGUAGAAGCCAGAGCAACUGCGCUGGGCAGGCGUGCACGUCAGCGCUGUGAGACAAAAGAAGCCUUUUCUUUAUGAGCUGAUUUCCUCAGGAAUUGGUCAAAGAGAGCUGACUCACACAGGUGAUGGCGUGUGGACAAAGUAUCAUCUAAUUUGUCUGUAAAGACACACUGUAACAGCUGGUCGGGACGGCCCAGGCACCUUACUACAGGUGCAUCCAAGAAGUGCUUUCUUUCUUUAGCUCUAUUCUGCCUUUCGCCGCACUAUGAAACUCUCAGUGAAAACCGUGGGCCCCGUGGAGUUACAUAUUUACAUUUGCAGCAUGCUUGCAGCUCUCUUUUUUUCUCAGUCAUUCAAGCUGUUUUGUGUGUUCCAACUUAAUAACUUUCUAUAAAUUCUGUUCGCUCAUUUAUUUUUUUCCUUUUUUGAGUAACAAAGGUUCUAAUUGUAGGCAGCUCACUAGGAAAUAAAACCUAGAUGUGUGUUA